rnacentral:lncRNA from 1 species
GGAGUCUGGCUCUGUUGCCCAGGCUGGAGUGCAGUGGCCGGAUCUCAGCUCACUGCAAGCCCCGCCUCCCGGGUUCACGCCAUUCUCCUGCCUCAGCCUCCCGAGUAGCUGGGAGUACAGGCACCCGCCACCUCGCCCGGCUAAUUUUUUUUGUAUUUUAGUAGAGACAGGGUUUCACUGUGUUAGCCAGGAUGGUCUCGAUCUCCUGAACUCGUGAUCCGCCCGUCUCGGCCUCCCAAAGUGCUGGGAUUACAGGCUUGAGCCACCGCGCCCGGCCGGGAUUAGUGCCCUUAAACCAGAGGCCCCAGAGGCAUCCCUGGCCCCUUCCACUAUGAACCAGAAAGUGGGGCCUCACCAGUCUCCAAGUCUGCUGGGUGAUUUUAUCUUGGGCUUCUCAUCCUCCAGAGCUGUGGGCAAUAAAUUUCCAUCAUUUAUAAGCUACUUGGCCUAUAUAUUCUGUUAUAGCAGCCAGAUGGACUAAGAGUUGAGUUUAGAAAUCUAUAAACAUCUUCUUCUGGAGGCUGAAGUCCAGGUUGGGACGUCAACGUAUGAGACAGCGUGCAACUGCUGUGGCUGGACAGCCUGUGGUGCCAGAGAUUCUCAGCCCGGCAUUCUCAAACCACACGGCCGUGCAGAGCUGAGGAAGCCACGUGCAUACUCUAGCCUCAUGGAGGGAGCCGCCUACCAUAGCUGGUUUUGCAAAGGGACUUUCUCCAGCCUCACAGAGGGAGCCUUCUACUAGAGGUGGUUUUGCAGAGGGACUUUGGGUUUGCCUCCUUUUGCUGUGCUUGCACUUUUGUUUGUCCUCCUGGGUCUGUUACUCCAUCUCCUUCCAGGGUCCGGCUUUUUCUGAACCCCUGGGUGUGCAUGUGCAUGCUAGGACUCCAUAACCUUCUCCACUCGAAAAGGAGAAGAGAUUCAGAGCAUGCGGGUGGAACAGGGCUGCUGGCCAGGCGAGGUGUCCUCACGUGGGAUGGAGGAGAACCACAGCCGGGCAGUAUAGAGAGAUUUGGAGAAAUCCAACAGGUGUGGGCGUGAAGUUGAAAACCCUCCUCCGCACCACGCAACAGCCGAGUCAUGAUUGCUCAUGCCUGAUUCUGGGCAAGCGCAUUCUUGCUGGAAUUGUUGAGGGAGAGGCAGCUGAGUGGGGUGCAUUGGUGGGAUCAGCACCUGUGGCCUCAGAGGACUGUGUCACCUGGCCCUCUGUCACCCAGUGGCAUCCCAAGGAAACGGGCUGCUCAUGUUGAAUCUGGAAUAGCCCCUUGCACGUAGGUUGUAUCUCUAUAAUCAAACAGGAAACGGGGCUCCACUGGCUGCUUUUCUUACAGCACCAUAUAUGCCCUGCAGGCUUCAUGGGGAGCCAUCAUCUCUCAGGCAGGCAGCCCUCCUGGGGUUCACCAGAUGGUCAGAAGGAGGGGUGAGCCCGGGAUUCAGCAGCCAUUCGUGUGAGAUCACAGAUGCCGCUCAAGGAUCCUCCCAGGUCGGUUACUCCAUCUCCUUCCAGGAUCAGGGUGGUGGGGAAAGGCCUUCCCACCAGAAUACCUGUUGUGACAGCGCUUCGUGGCUUCCACAUUGCAAAAUACCUCCCAUUCUGA